rnacentral:rRNA from 1 species
AUUGAACGCUGGCGGCAUGCCUUACACAUGCAAGUCGAACGGCAGCACGGGAGCUUGCUCCUGGUGGCGAGUGGCGAACGGGUGAGUAAUACAUCGGAACGUACCCUGAAGUGGGGGAUAACGUAGCGAAAGUUACGCUAAUACCGCAUAUUCUGUGAGCAGGAAAGAGGGGGAUCGCAAGACCUCUUGCUUUAGGAGCGGCCGAUGUCGGAUUAGCUAGUUGGUGAGGUAAAGGCUCACCAAGGCGACGAUCCGUAGCGGGUCUGAGAGGAUGAUCCGCCACACUGGGACUGAGACACGGCCCAGACUCCUACGGGAGGCAGCAGUGGGGAAUUUUGGACAAUGGGCGCAAGCCUGAUCCAGCCAUGCCGCGUGAGUGAAGAAGGCCUUCGGGUUGUAA